rnacentral:rRNA from 1 species
UACGGAGGGUGCAAACGUUGCUCGGAAUCAUUGGGCGUAAAGCGAACGUAGGCGGCUAUGUAAGUCGGGUGUGAAAGCCCUCGGCUCAACCGAGGAAGUGCAUUCGAAACUGCAUGGCUUGAGUAUCGGAGAGGAUAGCGGAAUUCCCGGUGUAGAGGUGAAAUUCGUAGAUAUCGGGAGGAACACCAGUGGCGAAGGCGGCUAUCUGGACGAAUACUGACGCUGAAGUUCGAAAGCGUGGGGAGCAAACAGG